rnacentral:tRNA from 3 species
GCGGAUGUGGCGGAAUGGCAGACGCAGCAGACUCAAAAUCUGCCGCUCGCAAGGGCGUGAGGGUUCAAGUCCCUCCAUCCGCA